UUGUGGGAGAGAGAUUUGAUAUUUUCAGGGGAGAUUUUAGGUUGUGUGGGAGAAACUGUCGUACUGUCCGAAGAAUCGUAGUAUUUUGAGGAGAAAGUGUCCUCUUGGGGCGCAUCUCGAUCUUUUCGGGAAGAGACGUGGGUACUUUGUGGGAGAAAGCGUCUUAAUUUCUGGAGAGAAGGUGGUAGUUGUGGAUACCAUAUCAUACCUUUUGGAGACAAGUUGUCUUUUUGGCGAUGAGAAGUCCCACUCCUGGGGGAGAAAAGUGAGAUCUGGGGGGAGAAAAUGUCAUAUCUUGGGGGAGAACCAUAGACUCGUGUCACAGAAGGAUAGAAUGGCCUGGGUUGAAAAGAAGCACAGUGAUCGCGGCGUUUCGAGCCCCCUGCUACGUGCAGGGUCGCCAACCACUAGACGACCAGGCUGCCCAGCGCCACAUCCAGCCUGGGCUCGAAAGCCUGCAGGGAUGGGGCCUCCGCAACCUCCCUGGGCAAGCUGUUCCAGUGCAUCACCACCCUCGGCGUGCCAAACUUCUUCCUACUAUCUAACCCUGACACCCCCUGUCUCAGUUGAAAACCAUUCCCCCUUGUCCUAUCACUCUCCGCCCUGGUGAACAACCCUUCCCGCUCCUGUUUAUACGCUCCCUUCAAGCACUGGAAGUGGUAUUAAGGGGGAGAAAAUGUUUUUGCUUUUGGCAGUGAAAAGUGGUACUUUGGGGCGACAGUAGCUUCUUUCUGGGAGACAAGUGGCGUUCAGUGGGAGUAUUCUUGUCAUAGCUGGGGGAGACAUUGUGUAUUCUGGGGGAGAAGACAGAUAUUUAGUGGAGAGAAGUGGUACUUUGGGAGAAAAUGUUUUCUCUGGGGGAGAAGAAGUGGUACUUUGAGGAGCAAGUGGCAUAUCUUUUGUUGCAAGGUGGUGUGCUGGGGAAGAAAGGUGAUGCUUUGGGGAGCAAAGUGACCUCUGGGGGAGAAAGCGUCUGAUAUUCGUAGAGAAGUAGUAGUUGGGGGUGCAACUGUCUAAUUUUGGGGAGAGAAUGGGUAUGUGGGGGGAGAAAAUGUCUAAUUGUUGGGAUCAAAGUGGUACCUUGCGGCCAACGAAUGACCUACUCCUGGGAGAGAAGUGCUAUGUGGGGGAGAAACGUGGGGUAGAGAAGUGGUGUUCUGGGGGAGAAAGGUCAUAUUUUGUUGAAAAGGUGUCCUGUUUGGGGGUGCGAAGUGGUAUUCUGGGAAGCAACGUUUGUAGUUAGGGGAGAACAGUGGCAUUUUGCGGGAGAGAAUGUCAUAUUUGAGAAGAACAGGUGUAUUCUGGGGAGAAAUUAGACUAUCUUUGCGGGAGAGUGGUAUUUGGUGGGAGAAAACUGGGACUUGGCGGGCGAGAAGUCCUGUUUUGGGGAUCCCAGUGGUAUUCAGUGGGAGAAGAAUGGGUAUUUUGUAGGGGAAAGAGGUCUGCUGGGGAGAAAGUGUCACAUUCUGGGGAGUGAGGUGGUAUUCUGUGGGAGAAGACGGGCAUUUCCUUUGCGAAGACGUCGUGUUUGGGGGAGAGUCGUGGUAUUAUUUUGUGGGAGGCGAUGUCGUAUUCUGGGGAGAGAAUGGUUGUUCUGAGAAGGGAAUGUUGCGUCUUUGAAAGAGAAGUUCUCUUUUUGGGGAGAAAGUGUAGUAGUAUUUGGGGGAGAAAGUUGCUAUUUAGCGGGAGAAGUGUCCUAUUUUGGGGAGAAAAAGGGCAUUUUGGGGAGGAAAUAUCAUGUUUCCGGAGCAAGCAUUUGGGCGAGGAUAUGUCCUGUUUGGGGGAAAAGUGGUCUUCUGGGGGCAAAACGGUCUAAUUGCCUAGAGAAGAAGUGUCGUUUGGGGGUGAAAACGUCUUAUUUUUGCGGGAAAGUUGGUACUUAGGUGUCCUAGUUUGGCGAGAAAGGUGAUAUUUUCGGGGAGGGAACGUCCUGCUUCUGGGAGAAAAGUGGUGUUGUGGGGAGAGAGUUUGAUAUUUUCAGGGGAGAUUUUAGGUUGUGUGGGAGAAACUGUCGUACUGUCCGAAGAAUCGUAGUAUUUUGAGGAGAAAGUGUCCUCUUGGGGGGGCGCACCUCUGAUCUUUGUCGGGAAGAGACGUGGGUACUUUGUGGGAGAAAGCGUCUUAAUUUCUGGAGAGAAGGUGGUAGUUGUGGAUACCAUAUCAUACCUUUUGGAGACAAGUUGUCUUUUUGGCGAUGAGAAGGUCCCACUCCUGGGGGAGAAAAGUGAGAUCUGGGGGGAGAAAAUGUCAUAUCUUGGGGGAGAACCAUAGACUCGUGUCACAGAAGGAUAGAAUGGCCUGGGUUGAAAAGAAGCACAGUGAUCGCGGCGUUUCGAGCCCCCUGCUACGUGCAGGGUCGCCAACCACUAGACGACCAGGCUGCCCAGCGCCACAUCCAGCCUGGGCUCGAAAGCCUGCAGGGAUGGGGCCUCCGCAACCUCCCUGGGCAAGCUGUUCCAGUGCAUCACCACCCUCGGCGUGCCAAACUUCUUCCUACUAUCUAACCCUGACACCCCCUGUCUCAGUUGAAAAC
ensembl:lncRNA